UACGGAAGGCAGCAGUGGGGAAUAUUGGACAAUGGGCGAAAGCCUGAUCCAGCCAUGCCGCAUGAGUGAAGAAGGCCUUCGGGUUGUAAAGCUCUUUUAGUGAGAAAGAUAAUGACGGUACUCACAGAAGAAGUCCUGGCUAACUCCGUGCCAGCAGCCGCGGUAAUACGGAGAGGGCUAGCGUUAUUCGGAAUUAUUGGGCGUAAAGAGCGCGUAGGCUGAUUAGUAAGUUAAAAGUGAAAUCCCAAAGCUUAACUUUGGAAUUGCUUUUUAAAACUGCUAGUCUAGAGAUUUGAAAGAGGAUAGAGGAAUUCCUAGUGUAGAGGUGAAAUUCGUAAAUAUUAGGAGGAACACCAGUGGCGAAGGCGUCUAUCUGGUUCAAAUCUGACGCUGAGGCGCGAAGGGCGUGGGGAGCGAAACAGGGAUUAGAUAC
rnacentral:rRNA from 1 species